rnacentral:lncRNA from 1 species
AGACUUUGGUCCAGGAUCUUUCUUCCUGUCACCUGCCUGUCUUUCAGGGCCCGGAGCUACAGGCGGCAUGGGAGGAAGGCACACCAGUGCCUGAACACUUUUCACGUCCCAGUGAAAAGUCUCAGAUGGGGAUUCAGAGAAACACUGAGAGGGAUCACUGGGAGUAUGGAGUUUAUUAAAUUCAUUAACAGACCAACCAUGGCAUUGCACACCAACCUGAUCUAUAUAAUGUAGAACUCUCAGCAACUUCUCCAGCACCAUGUCUGCCUGCAUGCCACCAAGCUUCCCAAUAUGAUGAUAAUGGACUGAACCUCUGAAACUGUAAGCCACACCCAAUUAAAUGUUUUCCUUCAUAAGAGUUGCCAUGGUCAUGAUGUCUCCUCACAGCAAUAAAACCCUAAGACAGGCCUGUAAUUCCAGUAUUUGGGAAACUGAAGCCAGG